rnacentral:rRNA from 1 species
AUGAACGCUGGCGGCGUGCCUAACACAUGCAAGUCGAGCGAGAUGUUUCCAUAUGAGGCUCCGGCGGAUUAUGGAGACGGAAGCGGCGGACGGUGAGUAACGCGUAGGUAACCUGCCCCAUACAGAGGGAUAGCCACUGGAAACGGUGAUUAAUACCUCAUAAGACUGAGGAUACACAUGUAUCUGCGGCCAAAGAUUUAUCGGUAUGGGAUGGACCUGCGUCUGAUUAGCUAGUUGGUGGGGUAACGGCUCACCAAGUCGACGAUCAGUAGCCGAACUGAGAGGUUGAUCGGCCGCAUUGGGACUGAGACACGGCCCAGACUCCUACGGGAGGCAGCAGUGGGGAAUAUUGCGCAAUGGGGGAACCCUGACGCAGCAACGCCGCGUGCAGGAAGAAGGUCUUCGGAUUGUAAACUGUUGUCGCAAGGGAAGAAGACAGUGACGGUACCUUGUGAGAAAGUCACGGCUAACUACGUG